GGGGAUGUAGCUCAGUGGGAGAGCGCUUGCUUCGCAUGUAAGAGGUCUUGGGUUCAAUCCCCAGCAUCUCCA